UACGAAGGGGGGCUAGCGUUGCUCGGAAUCAUUGGGCGUAAAGGGUGCGUAGGCGGGUUUUUAAGUCAGGGGUGAAAUCCUGGAGCUCAACUCCAGAACUGCCUUUGAUACUGAAGAUCUUGAGUUCGGGAGAGGUGAGUGGAACUGCGAGUGUAGAGGUGAAAUUCGUAGAUAUUCGCAAGAACACCAGUGGCGAAGGCGGCUCACUGGCCCAUAACUGACGCUGAGGCACGAAAGCGUGGGGAGCAAACAGGG
rnacentral:rRNA from 1 species